GGACAGCUGGGGAAGUAAAUAAAGCGCACCUUCGCUAGGACCCGACAGCCUACGUACGGAGCCCCGUACCUACUGUACGUGAUGUCCUUCAGGCUAGCUAUGGACACUUGGCUGUGAGAAUUUUUGAUGGAGUGCAAACUAGAAGAAGAUGUGAUCCAGAAACUUGAAGAUUUAUGAAACUGUCAUUCCGUUAAUGACAGACAGUGACCUGGCAAAGUACAUCCCCAGUUGGAGAUAGAGUCUCCAAUGUGGCCUUCUGCAGACAAGCAAGACUGUCACAAAAAUCACCAUCCAGGAAAGAAUCCAUACUCUCAAGGCUAUGACAAAGACUGUCUGGUGGUGAGGGGAUACAUAAAAAAAAAUAGAUCAUCAAAGUGGACAGAAAAUACAAAUGCCAAAUGGAAAAGGAGAUGAAUUGAGUUUGGCUGGAUGGAUUUUGGUGGGGACAAACAGGUGAACCCCGUAAGUGGUGGAGCAACGGGGCAUCUCUCUAUUGACAAAGACCAAACAGUGGCAAAUAUCAAACUUAUGGCUAAAAAUCUUUUUUCCCCAAAGGCCUUUCAAAAAAAAAACAAAAAUCUUCCACACUGUUCAACUCAUAUUGAGAGCUCACAGAUACAUGUUAAUGUGUCCAACACAGUAGAUGAGUUGUAUAAUCAAAGCAAGGUCAAAGUUCUGCGACUUUACCUGUGCACCAAAAAGAAAACAGGACGGCAGCCCUCGGGAGUGGAGGGUGAUCAUGCAAUAAGCCAGCCCUUUGUGGUAGAUCUCACUAACAAGGAACAGAAGCAGGGCAAUAAGGAUCUGUUGGUGGAAAACAGAAAUUCAGAAUCACCAAACCACUGUGGAAUUAAUGAUGGAGCUUCCAGAAGUGGAUAUUUGAAUCUGAAUGAUACAUUACCAUGGGAUGGUCAGCUAACUGUGAGCGAAAGCGAAGAUUCUGAUGCAGUUUUUAUUGUAAGUGGGGAUGAACCAAGCCUUGAAAUACUCAUUCCAGAAAAAGAGGAUGGCGUACCUCAUAAACAGUGACUCUCUCACCGGUGCUUGCAGGGGAGGCCAGUGUUCCAGACCAAGCACUUCCUGAACCACAAUCUUGUCCUGUAACGCUGAUUGUAAGAAGAGAUCACUGUCUCACUGACUUGGUUAGUGCCUUCAAGGACCCAAACAUUAUUGCAUGUGAGGUCAACAUUAAAAUUACCAAAUGGAGAGCUUGAACAGGGGGAAGGAAGUGAUGUUUUGCGGGACUGCCUGGUAGAAUUUUGGACUGAUUUCCGUGACAGCUGCACACUGGGAGUUGAGGAGAAAGCCCCCUUCAUCAGGCAUGACUUUCAGUGUGAAGAAUGGCGGGCUGUAGCUAGAGUGUUUGUAGUAGGGUGGAAAGCUGGUUACUUCCCAGUGAAGCUUGUAGUACUUUCAGUGGACACAGGUGAAUUGCUGGAUGUACUCAAUGCACGUGAAUGCAAGCAAGUCCCUACCAAGGACACACUGCCCCAAUGUUUGGAAUUAAGUGCUGGCGUCCUGUUGUGGGUUCUGUAGCUGGUUUACUACCACCAGAAGGACUGCAUCAUGUCAUUGCACAAAUAAAACCAACUGCAAAAACAGUGAAGGAGCUUCUAAACUUGGAGAUGACAGCAGCCCAGUCAGUUUCUUGUUACCUUUCAAGAAUUUCCCUUCAGGGAUAAAUAAAGGAAUUCUGACCUGAAAAGGUACAUUGGGGAAAAUGAUUUCAAUAAUCUUCAGCUUUUCUUGCGGUUCUGUACAGGAUCCAAUCACUUGGAUAAGGCCAUACUAAUUGAGUUCAUAGAAAUGACAGAUUUCCUCCGCAGACCACAGUCCCACACAUGUAGAUAUGUACUAAAGCUGCCCAUUGGUUACUACAGCUAUCCAGGUUUUUGCAGCGAAUUUAACAGCAUUCUCACAAUGUGGGUAAUGGACGUGGUGUAGGUAACAAUAACAUGAAAGAUUUGAAAGCUCCUUGCUAGACUCAGAUGAAAAUACAAAUAAAGUGCCUGGGACAUGGUAGAUGGGAAAUCCAAGCUUGAUUCCUCCAUUAUUAUUGCGCACAAAUCAAACACAUCCACAUGACAUGGGACUGAAGUGACAACUGUGCAGCUGUCUUUACAUGUGGUCAAAUCUUCAGUCAGUGGAACAAGACAGUCUUCUGCACCCCAAAGGUGAGGGGCCAUGUACAUGACAUCAGUUAUCCCACUGGGCACGUUAGUGUUCUUUGGGGGCCUUAUACGGUGAGUAUUCCAAACAACCCUGGAUAUCAUUUAAUACCUCCUGUUGAAGAAACAAGAACAAUUAAGUCACAGCUGGCAUACAGUACAUUUUUAAACAAUGAGAGAGGAGGAUCCUGACGUCUUCUUUCCUGAUAGAAAUACCAUGUUGUUUACACAUUGUAAACACCCACCGGUAACCAUGUUUGUUUCCAGGGCCUUGCAGUUGGUCAACAAUGAAAUCUAUCCCGGCGCCCAAGUCGUAGCUUCUCCAGUAAAGCAUCCUGGCUCUCAACAUCCGGUUUAAAUGUCUCUUGGAAAUGAUGGUUCUUUGCAAUGCCAGGCUUUUCAGAAUGUACUUGUAGUAAAAUAGAUCUCUAUCAUACUGUCCCUGUCCAUCGUGUUAGCCCCUCUUAUGGCUCUACCUUAGACCUUAGAGAAGGUGCGCUCGAUUUACUUACCCAGCUGUCCAGGAAUUACAUUAAUAUUAUUAAUUAGUAUUUCGUGCGCACGUUAUACCUAUUUCGUGGCCAUGAUUUUUUUUUAUUUUUUUGACCAUGAUCACCAGAGGGGCUCCAUAGUCUCAAGACAGAAUUGUCCUAGUCUCUAUGAGGAGGAGUUUAUUAAAGUACAGGAAUUCUAAAUAGCAAAAAAGCAUUUAACACCUAAAAUUCAAAAUGUCUGACUUCUUCAUGGGUAUGGCUUUUUUUGUUACUGACUUCCGAUGUUUAGUACCUGGGGGUGAAACAAACUAAGGUUACUUAGUAUAGAUUUUUUGU